rnacentral:rRNA from 1 species
AACGAACGCUGGCGGCAUGCCUAACACAUGCAAGUCGAACGAGACCUUCGGGUCCAGUGGCGCACGGGUGCGUAACGCGUGGGAACCUGCCCUUAGGUUCGGAAUACCUCCCCGAAAGGGGUGCUAAUACCGGAUAAUGUCUUCGGACCAAAGAUUUAUCGCCUUUGGAUGGGCCCGCGUUGGAUUAGCUAGUUGGUAGGGUAAAAGCCUACCAAGGCGACGAUCCAUAGCUGGUCUGAGAGGAUGAUCAGCCACACUGAGACUGAGACACGGCCCAGACUCCUACGGGAGGCAGCAGUGGGGAAUAUUGGACAAUGGGCGAAAGCCUGAUCCAGCAAGGCCGCGUGAGUGAUGAAGGCCUUAGGGUUGUAAAGCUCUUUUACCCGGGAUGAUAAUGACAGUACCGGGAGAAUAAGCUCCGGCUAACUCCGUG